rfam:Oceanicola litoreus strain DSM 29440 genome assembly, contig: Ga0131108_11
CCCAUGGGGACAGCGCGAACGCCCCGUGAGGCCCCAAGCCAGAGGUUCGCAUGUUUGCCUUGACCGAGGAGACAUGCUCUUG